rnacentral:sRNA from 1 species
GCUCGGGGAGUGAAGGCCUCAUUAAGAAAAGGUCUCAUUCGGUGUUUUGGGAAGAGAGUCGUGUGGGCCCAGGUAUCGUAGCGGCGACACGAGAGAGACGGCCGGUGUGACAGCCUUCCACUACCUGCACGAGUGUAUUGGUAACGUUGGGGUCUGUCUGCUAUCAGCUAUGCCGCUGCCCGUUGCGCUGCAGACCCGCUUGGCCAAGAGAGGCAUCCUCAAACAUCUGGAGCCUGAACCAGAGGAAGAGAUCAUUGCCGAGGACUAUGACGAUGAUCCUGUGGACUACGAGGCCACCAGGUUGGAGGGCCUACCACCAAGCUGGUACAAGGUGUUCGACCCUUCCUGCGGGCUCCCUUACUACUGGAAUGCAGACACAGACCUUGUAUCCUGGCUCUCCCCACAUGACCCCAACUCCGUGGUUACCAAAUCGGCCAAGAAGCUCAGAAGCAGUAAUGCAGAUGCUGAAGAAAAGUUGGACCGGAGCCAUGACAAGUCGGACAGGGGCCAUGACAAGUCGGACCGCAGCCAUGAGAAACUAGACAGGGGCCACGACAAGUCAGACCGGGGCCACGACAAGUCUGACAGGGAUCGAGAGCGUGGCUAUGACAAGCAGUAAGCCGAAAGGAUGAAGAGUUAGACCCCAUGGACCCUAGCUCAUACUCAGACGCCCCC